UCCUGGUUAUAUGGAGAAUUUACUAUAUUGGUUUCGCUCCUCCUAGUGAAUUACUUUUUUCAAGUCCGUCCGUGUCCUUGUGAGUUACGGGCUUAGCCCAGGUUGCCUGCAUGCACCUAUAUAAAUAAAGGCUGAACCGGAGCUACUCUUUGUUUGACUGCCGCAUGGCUCGCUGUGUGUGGGCAAUUGGUGAAGAAGAGGCAGUGGAACAUGUCAUUUCUAAUAGAUCACCGGAUCCCAGGUUGUGGUUAUUCUGCCUAUUUGAAACAUUAACUGAACCGGAGCUUGCAAAAGCCCUGAUCACUAUGUGGGCUAUAUGGGGGGCGCGAAGGAAAGCAAUCCAUGACAAUGAAUUUCAGAACCCACUGUCUACUUGGUGUUUUAUCACGAGGUAUCUUCAGGACCUAGGGAUUGCAGUGAAGCGGGAAAACCCGAUCGCUAUGACGGCCGUUGGUACCCGGUCACGGGACAAAGCAUGGCUUCCGCCGGAGGAAGAUGAAGCAAAAUUCAAUGUGAAACCCUAAUAAGGAGCGCAAACUAGUAGCUCCGUUUCUUUUCGAGUCAAUCCACUCUGCAUUCUUUUCCUUAUUAGGGUUUCAUAUUGCAUCGUGUUUGGGCGGCGUAGAUCGUGACGCCGGCGUAGAUCGUGAAGCAAAAUUCAUCGUGUUUGGUUCUAGCAAUUCUACAAGGGUCAAUCCACUCUGCAUUCUUUUCCCCUCUAGUUCUACUAGUUCACGGUCUCCGUCUGUCUAAUUACUCUGUCGCCGUCGCCACCACUAAUCACCAUUAGCUUAAUCCCUCCAUCUAUCCUAGUACUACUACACCACAUGUGUACUUCUGAUUCAUCCACUAUAUUUCAUCUAGCUACUACAUACGCCUGCAAUCAUAUCCUAUCAUCUAUUGUUUUACGUUCUUUGCUAUCAAUCCCAUUGGUACCUGUAUGUGCGCGCGGUGAAAGAUCGGGCCAUCCAAAAAAAUCGUCUCAACGCUACUUGAGGCGUAUCAGCUGGUAUCACAUAGCGCCAGGUUUAUCACUGCACACGAUGUCAACCGCAAGCAAGCGUGACGAGGAUGAGGUGCGGGAGGAUGACGGGCCGCCGCAAUAUGGUCCCGAUCUGGACCCAGGUGUCCGUGCUAUGUUCAAGGCUACAUACCAGCACUUCGGCAACCGCAUGAAGGCCCUCGACGAGACGAUGACUGACGGGUUCCAAGCCAUGCAGGCAGCCCUCCGUCGCCUAGAGGCAAGGGCAACCGGCAUGGCUGCUCCAGUGAGGGCACAACAUGCCCUGCAGCAGCAAGCACCUCUACACGUUCGUGACGCGGACGUUGCCAACGACGACAAUGAUGCUGAGUCCGAGGAUGGUUCUGAUGCUCGCGACAACUUGCCUCGCUGACCAUGACAGGAUGCUCGUCCCUGUGAUGAUGGACCAAGGCGGCGCCGCGAUGAGGAUGAGGACGGAGGUAUUGGUAGAAUAAAAAUUACUAUACCUUCGUUCACAGGCAAGGCCAGUCCCGAGGAGUAUCUUGAGUGGGAGAUGCGUGUGGAGCAGAUUUUUUUAUAACCACCGUUACUCUGAGGAACGGAAGAUUCGUUUUGCUUCUCUUGAGUUUUCAGGUUAUGCAUUAAUUUGGUGGAAUCAACUCAACCAUAAUGACGCACGACCGGAAUCAUGGCGUGAGAUGAAGCGUACAAUGCAUGCUCGCUUUGUUCUAGUUUAUUUUUAGAAGGAGCAGCACACAAAGCUUCGUCGUCUUGUCCAAGGAGCCAUGUCGGUGGAUGAGUACUACCAAAAGAUGCAAGUUUUGAUGAUCAUAACUAGUGUGCAUGAGUCUGAUGAUGCAACCAUGACACGUUUCUUUGAGGGGCUGAAUGAAGAUAUACGCGACCGUGUUGAUUUGAUGCAGUAUAAUGAUAUGCAAGAGCUUCUUCAUCAAGCAGAGUGUGCCAAACAGUGGGUCAUGGCAAAUCAAGUUUCCAAGGGUCGCACCAAUUUCAGCACGGGGAGGCGAUCCUAUUCACAUGAUGGUGACAAUGUCAAGUCAGGUUCAUCCUAUAGGUCAGCUACUACUAAUCACAAGGAGAUAAUCAAAGAACCUAGUAGCGCGAGCAAAGUGACUUCAAGGUCUGAUUCUAUUGCGCAGUCAGCUACGCAUACUAGUAGAUUGUGUGUUACACAUGUGGAGGUAGGGGACACAAACACAUUGAUUGUCCGAACAAGAAGAGAGUGCUCCUUGUUAAUGAUGGAUAUGUUUCCGAAGACAAAACUGACUCAGAGUCUGAUGAGCCCAAGCAAGGGGAAAGGAAAUCUAAUCCUAUCAUGUGCUAUCCUUUGGAUUAUGAUCUGCCAUGCAUCAUGGUGCAACGAGCUAAAGAGGAUCAAAUUCCAAGCACGGGACAAUGGUGGAAAUAUUUUCAGUCACAAUGCCGAAUCAACAACAAGUGUUGCAAGUUGAUUAUUGAUGGAGGGAGCUACACCAACAUCAUAAGCAAGCGUGUGGUUGACGCUUUAGGAUUGAAGACAUGGCCACAUCCGCAACCACAUUGCAUUGAGUGGUUGUACAACUCCGGACGACUGAAGGUGACUCACAAGGUACGUGUAAAGUUCAAUAUUGGCAUAUAUUAUGAUGAGGUGAUUUGUGAUGUUGUGCCAAUGGAUGUGUGUUAGUUGCUAUUGGGUCGUCCGUGGCAAUAUGAUCGCAAUGCUAUAUAUGAGGGGAGAUCCAACACUUAUGUGUUUUGAGAUGUUGGCAUCAAACGUGUGCUGCAGCCCAUGGGUAACAACGCUAUCAAGAUUGAUCUUCUGUUUGCCAUACACAAGGAGAUUUUUAAGAGUGCCUCGAAACCGAGGACGGUUUCGCGUGAAGGGGGAGUGGAUCAUGUGAUCACCCCUAACUAUGUAGCUAAUAUUAUUGCACCAUCAGAGAAGGUCACGACUGAGAAGCAUGCAUGCGACUCGGGCUGUAGAAAAUAUAUCAUACCAACACAACAUGGAGUAGCAGCUGGCAUGAGGAGAACAGGCGCAGGUAUAUUUGGGCCCGUACCACGAGCAUGUCAGUCAAUGCUAUAACGUUUGGUUAAAUAUCAAUCGCCAGCGACGCCACCAACGGAAGAUAUCAGGCCAAACUUUUGGACUCCACCUCGUUGGAAUUAAUUAACGAUUUUGCUAUUUUUUAGUCGAGUGAUUUUCAAUUGGCUAUCAUUCAAAUUCUUGGCCGUCCGAUUGCGCGCUGUUAUUCGUGCUGAGAUCUGUGGUUUUGUGGUUGGUUGUCCUUUUGAACCGGGUUCGAUUUUAUUUCGUUGGGUGCGGUUCAUCGGGUCUGCCCGUUACUGGACGCCCGUUUUUUUCCUUUUCCUUUCUCCCUCUUUUCCUUUUGAAUUCCUCCAUUUUCAUUUGGGCGGUACUGUUUCGAAAGGGGGCAGAGAGGUGAGCGGCGGAGGAGGGGAAACGCUCGAGCGGCGGAGGCGGUCGAGCGGCGGCGGCGAGGUCCCUCUCACCUCGGACCUGAUUGCUCCCCUGGUUAGUUCCCGUUGUCGCUCUCCCUUUCCCCCAUGAGUUUUGCUUCGAUUUUGGUCGCGUAGGUUUCAGAUCUAGAGUUCUAGCAGUCGUUUUGUUGUUGGUGGUGUGGAUCCUGUUGAUUUUUGAUGAUUAUUAGCGGUUGGUCAGCGUGGUUUGUUGUUAGCCAAUGCUCAUCUAUGGAGUUCGCCGCCGGAUCCCCUCUGUCGAGGUCAUUUUACCGGUGAAAUCCCCUCUGUUGGUGUCAGUUCGCCGCGGAAUCCCCCCUGCUGGCGUCAGAUUACUACGGGUCCCAUGCGCUCUCUUCAGUUCGCCGCGAAUCCCUUGUGUGGGGUGUUAGUUUUAGGUUUUUAGAGUUCGAUCUGCUCGUUGUUGAUGUUUAGUGUUAGCUGUGUCAGUCAUCUGACUACUCCAUGUAUUGGUGUUGUAUUACCACCCAUUUUUUACAGCGCUCAAACCCAUGAAUUUACACUGUAACCCCCCAGUUUUUUGCCAUGCUUAUGUAUUGUUGUAUUUUAGUCUGUAGUUCGUCUCUGAUUGUCAUUGUAUCUCCAUCUUAGUAUGUAUUUCCCCUUAGUUUCAUAGUUGUACUUUAUGCAUGAUGAAUAUUGUAAUGUAUAUUUGAAGUUCACUGUAGACUGUUUGACUUGCAUUUUUGUGUGGUUGAAUGACCGUAAGUGUGCUAGUGGUGUUGGACUGUAAGUAACCAGAAUUUUACAGUGUUUUUGUUGUUGUUUGGGGACUGUAAUUAUGACUGUAAUCACCAGAGUCUUUGCAUGACUUAAGCUCUGUUUUAAAAAAAGAGGUUUGGAGUUCUUCUUUUUAUGCAGAGAAAAAACUGCAGUUUGCUCAAUACUACAAUAUUAAAAGCAUAGUUGUUAGGGGCAACCAAACAGCUCAUUGUAAAUAAAACUGUGGUAAUCUCAAAAACUGUAGUAUUCUCAAAAUACUUAGAAAAUACUUUGCUAUCAAACAGGGCCUUACUAUGUAAUUAUCCGGAGUUUUACUCAUUGAAGGACUGUAAUUUCAGCAUUGUUACAUUUUUGUAAGUUUUUAUGUUUGAGGACUGUAAUUUUCAUAAUUUUACCAAAGUUUUACACUGCAAGUUGUGCGUUUGAGUUCUGUAUUUGCACUGUAAUUAUGCUGUAUUUUGUGUGUCUGAGUACUGUAAUUUCAGUUUGUCGUAGAUCAUCCGGCUUUUGCACUGUAUUUUUGUAGAGGAUUACACUGUAUUUUGUAUGUUUGAGGACUGUAAUAUGUGGUAGGCAUUACAGUGUAUUUUCUGGAGUUUUACAGUGUAAUUAUCCGGCUUACAGUGUAAAUCGGCAGAGUUUUUACACUGUAAUGUGUGUAGGUUAGGACUGUAAUUUUUGGUAGGGAUUACUGUGUAUUUUCAUGCAGCUUUACAGUGUAAUUAACCAUAGGGUUACAGUCUAGAUCAGCAGAGUUUUGCACUGUAAUUCUGUGUGGGUUAGGACUGUAAUUCGCGGUAGGGAUUACAGUGUUUUUCAUGGAGCUUUACAGUGUAAUUAACCAUAGGGUUACAGUGUAGAUUGACAGAGUUUUACACUGUAAUUUGUGUGGGUGAGGACUGUAAUUCGUGGUAGGGAUUACAGUGUAUUUUCCUAUACUUUUACUGUGUAAUUAGUCAUAGGGCUUACACUGUAAAUCAACAGAGUUUUGCACUGUAAUUUUGUGUGGGUGAGGACUGUAAUUUUUGGUAUGGAUUACAGUGUAUUUUCCUAUACUUUUACUGUGUAAUUAGUCAUAGGGUUUACACUGUAAAUCAGCAGAGUUUUACACUGUAAUUUUGUGUGGGUGAGGACUGUAUUUUUGGUAUGGAUUACAGUGUAUUUUCCUAUACUUUUACUGUAGAAUUAGUCAUAGGGUUUACUCUGUAAAUCAGCAGAGUUUUAAACUGUAAUUUUGUGUGGGUGAGGACUGUAAUUCGUGGUAGGGAUUACAGUGUAUUUUGUGCGGGUUAGGACUGUAAUUGUUGCAUAAAUCCCAUAGAGUAUUUUCACUUUACUUUUUGUGUGGUUGAGGUCUGUAACAUAUCGGCUAGUGCUUGCUUCUGCUUCAUUUGUCUAAUGAUUUUUGCCUUUUGUAUUUUUAGGUUUGGUUCAACGGGGAGGCUGCGGAAAGCAUCUCACAAGGAAGUACCUCUAGUCUCUUCUCUUGAGAGUGAUGGUUCUCUAAAUGAUCCUUUUGUUCCUAAUGAUUUUGUAGCCGAUGGUUCUCAUCCUAUGUCCUUGGUAUUUAUUUCUUUUGCUUCCCUAGUUUUAAAUCAUUAUUUUUCUUUUCAAUUUUUCAAUUUAUGUUUAUAUUUUGCCUUUGACAGGAAAUAUCUAGUGAUGAUGGAGGGCUUGACAAAGCUCUCUUUGACUUCUAUAUGGAUCAUGUAUGUGUAUUUAUUUGUGUUGUUUUUGAGUUUAUGUGUUGUUAUUUCUGAUGGCUUAUCAUUUUGUUGCUGAUUAUUAGUUGUCUUUGUAUUUUUUUCUUCAGAAAGUGAAAUGUUUGAAGAGGAAGUUAUCAAGUGUUGGAAGAAGAAAUGUGGUUAGUAUUCUUUUUGAUGCACUUUAUCUUAUCUUUCUCUAUUUGUUGCUAAAUUUUCCGCAAUGAAGUCCAUUUUUUGUAAUGCUCUUGUUCUUUUGUUUUUGUGGAGGAUGAAGCGGUCUUCUGAUUUCCCCGUUUGUUCUACUUUCACUAGAUAUUCUGGGAAGUUUUUCUCUGGUGUUGUCGAUGGUUUGCGCGCAAAGUAUAAAGAUGUCAUUGAGGAUUAUCUGUUGUUUGGGGUCAACUCGUGGUUGUGUUCUAGUUCUAGUCUAGUAAUUUCCCAUGCACCUCUUUUGUCGGUUAUGACCAUCACCACUUUGUAGUCUGUUUUUGCAAUGACUGUAGAUUUUCUUGUAGGCACUACACAUACUCUAUCAUUUUCCUUUGUCUUUCCAUAUUUGUUGCACUUCAUAGUAAUUCUUGUAACCUCAUUAUUCCUUUUUUUGCUUAUGGUUCUUGAUGCUGCUACUAUAGCCACUGAAAACCCAGCAACUUUUGAGUAAAAAUUGAAAUAUUCUUGCCCUUCUUCUUUUGUUUUGAACUGCAUGCCCAUAUGCGGCUUCAAAUUGCUACUAAUGUUCAUCAGAUUGCCCUCUGAUGCAACAUCUUCUUCAUUUUGCAGGAACUUCUCAGUGUCUUCUUUAUCGAGAAAGGCAUUGUCUUUGUGUUCUUCACGUGAGUUCUCAGGACCUCCUCUUUGUUCUUCAGUGUUUUCUCUUGUGUCAGUGAGCGCUCUAGUGUCUGUUGAUUCUGUGUUUGAUGCACUUGCUGUAGUAGUUGAUUGAGAUGUUGCUGCUGCUGUAGUGGGUUCAUCAUCUUCAAUGAUCUGCUCAUUUUGCUUAUGUCAAUUAGUCUACAUUGAUCUCCUUGUAGUUUUUCAUGUAUGAUAUGUACAUUGAUCUCUUGAAAUUUCUGCAAUUUACCUGCUCCAAUUGAAUGUUGUCAAAUAGGUUUGUGUCCCAGGGGUUUGGUUCUGUUGCUUGUUCUUUAGUUGCUAUGUCUUGAUGCAUUUGUUGCAAUGUCUGCACAGAGAAGGUAAAUUUAGUCUCUUUGUUCCCAUUAUGAAUUUUUGUAACCUAAUAUGCGAUUUUACAUUUGAAUCAAGUUCUGCGCCGGUGUUGUCGUAUGUGUCUUUCCCGGACACUUCCUCUCUUUGUUGAUAUGUGUUCACAGGUGAAUUCCCUGAAUGAACCUGCAAGUAUCAUUUCAAAAGUUUUAAUAUUUGUUCAUUGUAUGAACAAUGUCGUUUGUGUAUAGUACAGAGUAGUAGGUCUCUUUUACCUUGUAUAUAAUGUCAGAUCGUAGAAGCGCAGUGAAUGAAAAUGUAUCCUGCAGUAGUAUUUGAACUUCUCAAUUACAUGUAUAUAGAUUUUCCUUAAAGUUUCUGACUGAUUUUGCUAAUGCAACUCACAUUCAGGAUCAGUUCUUCUUGUGACAUUGAGAGAAAUUGCUCCUCUGUGAAUGUUAUUUGCUUGCUUUCCAUCUGCAGUAACACCAAAAUUAAACUGCCAGAAAUCACCAGUAAUAUAUGUAAUGCAACUCACAUUUAGGAUCAGUUCUUCUUGUGACAUUGAGAGAAAUUGCUCCUCUGUGAAUGUUAUUUGCUUGCUUUCCAUCUGCAGUAACACCAAAAUUAAACUGCCAGAAAUCACCAGUAAUAUAUGUAACCCUUCAAGGAAAAUUAAACUGUCAGUAAUUACUCCUCUGUGAAUGAAAAUUUAAACUGAUACUUGCAAUGUAUACUGAAACCAUGUUGCUGUCUGUCUUGUCUUUUCACCGCUUUUUGAUAGAUGUAAGGGGCUUGUUUGAACUGAUACUUGCAAUGUAUACUGAAACCAUGCUGUUGUUUGUCUUGUCUUUUUACUGCUUUUGAUAGUUGUAAGGGGUCUGUUUUCAUGCUCUUUCCUCCAUUUUCUGUUCUGUAACUAUGAUGAUUUUCUCUGUUUUGAUGAUUUUACUACUAGUUUCUCCUUUACACUGUUACUAAUCAUCUCCUUGUCAUGUUUUGUGCAGUCAACUUCAUGUAAUAAUCAAAAUUGGGAGCAUACUGGGAGUAAAAUGGAGUUUUUAGAAGAUUUGCUGACAUGUGGAUCCUUUCUUAGAUGUUCUUCCUGUAGAGUCCAGCAAUUAGUGGCAGAUCCCCCCUCUGUGUUCUCUCCAGGUACCACCCCUAUCUGCCAUGUGUCUUUGUGCUGUUGCCCAGCCUUGAUGCUCCUCUUCCAUGGCUGUUCCUAUUCUAUCUUCUUCUCAACCCCCCCUCCCAUGGUGUCUCCUAUGUUUGGUUCUGGGCGUGGAGAGGGUGGUUGUGUGUUAGGUGAGAUCUGUUUAGACGGGGAGGAAGAGGUGUGAGAUCUGUUUACUUUCUUGGGAGGCAAGUUCAGGCCUGGGGUUUAACUGUUUUUUUCUUUCUUCUCUUUUGUCAGGUGUGGUCCAGGAAAGCUGCUAGGAGAGAUCGGCUAGAGGUUUAGUACACAACCGGGUCUUUCCAGCCCGACCCGUUUUCGUGGAAACGAAUACAUUCUUUUUAUCGGUAGCUUUCUACAAUUACAAGUGUCAUCGGGACAGUGGUCAGAAAAUUUGAAUGAUACCCAAUUGAAAAUCAGUCAAAUGCAAAAUAGACAGUCCAAACCAUAUAUGUGAAGGUCUCCUGGUUAUAUGGAGAAUUUACUACUCCCUCCGUCCGGGUGUAUAAGUCAUUCGCGUAGUUCUAGGUCAUCGAUUUGAGGAAUUAAAUAUGUGUUAUAUGUCAUGAAAAGUAUAUCACUAGAUUUCCACGCGGAUGUAGUUUCUAAAUAUAUAUUUUUUGUCACAUAUAAUACAUAUUUAGAUAGUUAAAUUAUCGACCUAGAACUACGCGAAUGACUUAUACACCGGGACGGAGGUAGUAUAUUAGUUUUGCUCCUCCUAGUUAAUUAGUUUUUUCAAGUCUGUUCGUGUCCUUGUGAGUUACGGGCUUAGACCAGGUUGCCUGCGUGCACCUAUAUAAAUAAAGGCCGUGUGGCCAUGCAAAGAGGAGGUUUUUAGUUUUGAAGGAAAUACUCAGAAAACGCAUCUGAUAGAUGCGCCAUAUCUGUGCUCUUGCGUCCCUUAUUAGGGUUUGAUAUUGCAUCGUGUUUCGGCGGCGUUGAUCGUCAAGACACAAGCUCGGUUUUGGUUCUAGCAAUUCUGCAAGGGUCAAUCCACUCUGCAUUCUUUUUCCCUGUAGUUCUACUAGUUCACGGUC
rnacentral:lncRNA from 1 species